CCCUUAGAUGUUCUGGGCUGCACGCGCGCUACACUGAUGCGCUCAACGAGUUUUAACCUUGCCUGGAAAGGUUGGGUAAUCUUUUUAAAACGCAUCGUGAUGGGGAUAGAUUAUUGCAAUUAUUAAUCUUCAACGAGGAAUUCCUAGUAAGCGCGAGUCAUCAGCUCGUGCUGAUUACGUCCCUGCCCUUUGUACACACCGCCCGUCGCACCUACCGAUUGAAUGGUCCGGUGAAAUCUCGGGACGGCGGCUUGGUCGCUUGCGUCCGACUGCUGAAACUUGAUUAAACCAUAUCAUUUAGAGGAAGGUGAAGUCGUANCA
rnacentral:rRNA from 1 species